UGGAGCAUGUGGUUUAAUUCGAAGCAACGCGAAGAACCUUACCAGGUCUUGACAUCCCGAUGCUAUUCUAGAGAUAGAAAGUUACUUCGGUACAUCGGUGACAGGUGGUGCAUGGUUGUCGUCAGCUCGUGUCGUGAGAUGUUGGGUUAAGUCCCGCAACGAGCGCAACCCCUAUUGUUAGUUGCCAUCAUUCAGUUGGGCACUCUAGCGAGACUGCCGGUAAUAAACCGGAGGAAGUGGGAUGACGUCAAAUCAUCAUGCCCCUUAUGACCUGGGCUACACACGUGCUACAAUGGUUGGUACAACGAGUUGCGAGUCGGUGACGGCGAGCUAAUCUCUUAAAGCCAAUCUCAGUUCGGAUUGUAGGCUGCAACUCGCCUACAUGAAGUCGGAAUCGCUAGUAAUCGCGGAUCAGCACGCCGCGGUGAAUACGUUCCCGGGCCUU
rnacentral:rRNA from 1 species